rnacentral:lncRNA from 1 species
CAGACAGCUGCCAGUGCAUAUCAGGAACAGCUCGGGAGCUAGUCUCCCCCAGCAUCGGUCCUUCAGGCUUGAGGGAAUCUCUAGCCAGUGAGCCGGUGUCAGACCACAGUAGGAGGCUGAGUUCCUGGGAGCUGGCUGAGGUUUGCUUAUCCUGUCCAAAGUGUCCUCCCUCAGACUUCUGAGAGCCGAACACUGACAGAGUGGGGGACUCCAGCAUGCCCGAGGGUCUGUGCUAAAGCUAACCUUUCAGUGAGCUUCACCAGCUCCUCCCUCUACUUGUGCAGGCUCAGCAGAAAGAGUUUUACAGUCUGCACAUGCCUAAUGUAGCAGCCUUCCCUGAGAAAACAAGCCACAGUAACACCCCAAGCUGUACCGGGUAGAACCAAUGUGAAGACAUGCUUGGUCUGCAAUUCCAAACAUACAUGGCAGCAUAGAAAACUCAGCCUUGCUGCAACCAGGGAGAA